CUUCAAAGAAGUUCCCGAAUCAUAAAUUUUUGUAAUUUUUUGUUUGGUUCAUGAAGCCUACGCAAAAUUUGUUGUGGUACAUAUGGCAGAUAAAAUUUGCAUGAAUACAACUCCUAGUUAUAGCAAAGCGAUUGAUCAUCCCAAUCCCAUGCAAUGUAUUAUUCCAAAAAUAAAUUCAUAAUUAGCACAUUUAUCAGCAUGGCUAAACAAAGCAAAACUAUUGCCAAUGGGAAAGGCUGCAUGGGUCGCCAUCAUGCCAUAGAAUUAAUAAACAAUAGCAGACCCACAAUGCCAUGUGACAUAAUCCAGCGUAACUCAGAACAUUGAAAUGCUACAUGGGCAUCGCCCAGAACGCAGUGCGUCAGCAAUGUCAACGAUGCGGUGGUUUCCAUUGUAUUUUCAGUCCACCUAUCUCCAUACAUAGUACAUACGCAGUUGCACUCUUAAAUAUUUGUGAAAUAUUGCCGGAAUGUCCUUUCACUAAAACAUGAUAACAACGCAUAACGCA